AGAGAGGCCAAAGAGGAGAAUCAUCAUUCGCAGACCGAGAGAUGAUGACCCAUUCCUGAAGUUGGACGCCAGAAUGCAGGAAGGUGCUGUUUAAGAGCCUAGGCGGUGGAAGAAGCACUUGCAGGUAUGCUACCGACCAGGCUCCUCAACAUCAAUCCGAGGCGGAAGAUGAAACGGGAUGAAGCAGUUAGAUUGAGACAAGGAGGCCGGAAACUUUGAUGACCUCAAUGACACUGGCUAGGUGAAGGACAUCAAGAAAAUGGCAUCAGGUCACCAGACAUCAGCUCAUAAUCCACAACGUCAUCAACCAUUUUGCGCCAAAAAUGAAGCCGUUCACAUACCAUGGCAUCCUAAGCAGGCAGCACUACACUACUGUGCAACAGUGAGAGAGAGUGGGCAAGGACAAGUAAAGCGGACCUACACUACAGCAAGACUUUGACACUUCUCCACGUGAGAGGCAGCCAUCGCCCCCACCGUUGAGCAGUGUGUACCCAGUACCCCCAAAAGAGGAGAUGAUCCGACGCCCUCACAGCCGAUUCCCAAAAUUGUACACAAAAACUCUGUAUGGGCAAGUGUGUGUGUAUGAUAUUGUAAAACUUUUCAGUCCAUCUUCUAUACUAUACAAUGUAUAAAUAUACAUGUGAAAACCUAAAUAUGCAUUAAAAACCAUUACUGAGGUUAAGAAAUGCAUUAUAACAAAUACAUCUGAUUCAGGUGUACUGUACAUAGAAAUGUCUUUAUUUGCCACAAAUACAUCACAUCCUGGAAACCUGUACAAUGUGUAGAUUCAAAGGUCUGCCAGAUCUUUGUGAUGGCACAGGAUUGCAGUGGAACCCAAACAUAGCCUAUCAACUCCCA